CCUAGUCUCGCUGCUUGACAGAUAUUAUCAUCUGAGACAAUGCUAAUUAUUCCAUCUGUAUCCAAAGACCUAGCUCCCUCCAAGAGAACUAAUCAUUAAAAUGCAAAUAGGUGUUUCCCACUUCACUGGUCUAGCCCAGAAAGACUGUUAACAGCUUUCUGACAAGAAAGAGAGAAGCUUAAUGAGUUGAUGCCUUAACCUUGUGGAUGGAAUGAGCACAGCUCACGGGAUCUGAGUCUGCGAUGUGCACCAGCCUCCAGCUCUGAUCCUUUCUGUGCCACGGCCUUUAUGAGUUAACGGAUAGAAGCUGCUGGAGAAAUUACUGAACAAAAAGCUGAUUUUGGAUUCCACUCACUGCACCCGGGCAGCUCUCACUUAGACUAAUUACUUAAAUGAUUUAAAAAUGUAUGAAUAUGCAUGGUGGUGCUUUUCAAAAAAUAAAGCCCAGCUGAGACCACGCCAUCAAAUCUCUCCUCCCUUUCUCUGAUUUGGAGCAACAGCACUUGCAUAUCUGAAACGCUGGACUGGCUGCAGAGACCCAGAUCAAGGUGGAAAAGGGACGGGCCCCCCAAACACAGCCUCAGACUCCCCGACCCUCACGGUCUCCUCGGGGUGGACAGCUGGGGCAGUUCUCUGAGUAAAGCAGGUCUUGUUUUAAAUGUCUACAUCUCGCUCUGCCUCCAGAACAAGGAGGGGCACAUCUCUUCCCUCCUCCAACAUUUUUACACCUUUGGUGUGGGGUUGACACUAUCUGGGACGUGGACGCUGACCAAGAGCAGGCUGUUGGGGGACGUGCUGGGCAUUGUCCGGGACGGGCAGACACAGGCACAAAUUAUCGUGAGCAAAAGGAUGAUAUUAUCCUUCAGUACAAACACUAAGCCUGUAAUCCUUGACCAUCCUCAGGAUGCAGACCCAUCCCUCCGUGUCAGACUCUGCGACACAGACCAAGAUGUUUGGGGCUCACGGCAUUCACAAUCACGCCGGGAAAUUAUAACAAUAAACACAAGCACAG
rnacentral:lncRNA from 1 species